GCAGCCCUCGGCCCCGGCCCUCCCGCGGGAAGCCGCCCUGCCCUGCCCGGCCCUCCCGGCGCUGCGCUGCCCGGCGGCUCGGCAGCGCUGUCCGGGGCGGGACGCCAGCCCCGCGGCCGCCGCCCGCCGCCGCCCUCAGCCCAGCCUCCCUCGCCCGCGUCCCCGCCCGGCCCUGCCGGCAAAGCCGAGGGGCGGCCGGAGGGAAGCCGGGCUGGGCUCUGAGCAGGGCUCGCCUUCCCCGCUGCCAUCUGCGGAGCGGCUGCCCAGCCCGUGCUCGAUUUUAUUCUAAUUUCACAGGGUUUUAUGAAGCGGUUGGUUUUUUGGGUUUUUUUGGCUUUUUGAGUUUGAUUUUUUUUUUUUCCCAGAUCUUGACGCUCAGCAAUGUCUUAAACGGAUUACACGGAGGAGGGGUUGAAGCUGAAAACCUCAUUCAUCCAUCCUCACGGCGGUUCUAUUCAUUGCUGAAAUAGGUGUAGCGUAGGAGCCGAGGGGCUCCAGCCAACUGUGUGGUCUCACGUACCGUUGCUCCCGCUGAAUAGCUUCCAAGUUUGAGGUAAAAGAACAAAUCGCACUUUUCAGGGACUUAAUAAGACGCUCAGAAAUAAAAAAAUAAUUAAAAAUGAAAAUAAUAAAAAAAA